rnacentral:rRNA from 1 species
UAUUAGUUAUGUUCUUUAACUUAAAAAAUUUGGCGGUAUUUUAAUCUAUUCAGAGGAACCUGUUCUGUAAUCGAUAAUCCACGAUGGACCUAACUUAAAUUUGUAAUCAGUUUAUAUACCGUUGUUAUUAGAAUAUUUUAUUAGAAUGUUAAUUUUCUUAAUUUUUAAUUAUAAAAAUAUAUCAGAUCAAGGUGUAGCUUAUAUUUAAGUAGAAAUGGGUUACAAUAAAUUUAUUUAUGUGGAUAUAAAUUUGAAAUAUUUAUUGAAAAUGGAUUUGAUAGUAAAAUUAUAAAGAUAAAUAAUUUGAUUAUAGUUCUAAAAUAUGUACAAAUCGCCCG